GCUGUGUGCGUGUUUUUAUUAGCUCACCACUUGUGGAGACUCGGCUGUUGGUACCUCAGCACACCUCUAGGAAUGCCGACUGUUUAUCAGGCUGUGCAAUCUGUCACUGCCCGCUGAAGGAGGUCUCGGGAGCGGCAUUUCUAAUUUGAUUUGAAAAUAUACGUGGAAACCUGAGACUGCUUUUAGCAAGAAUGAUGGGGUUGGCCUAAUGAACACAAUCUCUUUUGUUGUCCUCGAGAACAGUGUGUCAACAACUAAGUUCAGAUUCCCUCUGCAGCUUCAACAGCUUCUGUGGGGAAGCUGUAACUUACGUCUAUGUCACAUUCUUGGUUCUGCUUUACCAACUGAAAGCUAUUUCGGUGAGAUUUUAAGAUACAGCCCUCGGUUCCCUGGAAUGCAAGAAGGGAGGAAGUUUAUCCACAGAUCCCUCAAAAAGAAGUUUGUACUGAGAGAUGAUUGUUUUUUUCACUGGCGCUUCUCCCUCUGCACCUUACUGCUGGUAAUGGUGCUUAUGAAAAUGCAUAUCUAGAGAACCAGUUCUCACAGAGACAGGGCACUGUCAUGGACUUGGGGCCAGAAACUGGCUGCAGGAAAAUAAAUGCACCUCAGAAUGUCCUUCCAGGCAGACACAUGCAUCUCUGGCUGCAGCAUCAUCCAUCCCCUUCAAUACGCCAGAGAUGACACGAGAACUGUGCUGCCGAAGUUGGGCACGGGCUGAUACGAAAGUCUGCUGGGUGUCACCCAGAAGAGAGCACGACACGCUAACAGGUACAUGUUACGACACCAAAAACUGGGGGUGGAGGUAGGAGAGGUGUUUCCCUCCUAGACUGCCUUAGUAACUCUCUCUGGAAACUACAGUGUUUCUUAUUUCUUCCUCUGAUUCACUAAACUGGUCUUCAGACCAGUCUUCUUUGGCUGGUCUUCAGAAGCCAAAGAACUGCAGUGUGUAAAGACCACAUCUCCUAUUGAAACAUACACUCUUUAGAGUAUCUCAGAGCCUAAUUAGGAUCUCGUAUCUAUUGCUUCCCAAGUUCAGGAUACUGAAGCUCAUUGGUUUUGAAAGUUAUUCAGAAAACAGGGUAACAACCUUCUGAAACACUACAAUAGCACUACUGCAAAAUGAGUAUUUUUGGACCACUGCUCUAAUACUUAAGUAUUCACGUGGCUGUUGCUUUAGUGUUGCUUACAGCUGUUUGCAUAUGGAAUAAUCUAGCCCCAGAGAAUGAUCUGAAUAAGUAGAAAACUAUGAAGUGUGCCCAGUUGAAUGGUUAAGAACUUUAUCCAAUGGAAGAAAUGAAACAUACAAAAUGCAUGGCCUUUUCCAGCAUUCUUACCGAGCGUGUUCUCACUGGUUUUUGUCUUAGCUUAGAAAUGUGGACAUCACUGCCUGACUGAACUCAGUGUUUGCAGUUAUUUCCUGUCCUGUUGUUAAGUAAAUAAAGAAAAAAAAAAAAAAAACAACCAACCCCAGCUCCCUAGUGGGCUCUGCUCUGUUAUACACAGCAGACCAGCAAGAGACCUCAGAGUAUUCAAAAGGUCUUCUUCAGCUUCAGCAGAUAUCGGGGUCAACUGCUGCUUAUGUCUGUAUCUCUUAAAGUAGUGAAUAGCUCCCUUUGCCAGGAGUAGUUUUCUGCUCUGUAGAGGAUAAUUAUCAAAACAUCAGUCUGUUAGGACUUAAACACCACUCCUUUCCUACAGCUAAGACUGCUUUUCUAAUGUUUUUCCAAAUGCCUCAUUAAAAAAAAAAAAUAAACAGAAGCCUAUCAUAUUCUUAUACAUAUAAGAUAUGGUUUUCCACAUAUUGCUACCAUAUUCUGAGUUUUUGAUGCAAGUAUGGUACAGAUUGCCCAUUGGAACCUUCAAAAGACAGUGGUUUUAUCACAUAAAUGGAUGAAAAAAAAGCAUGAAAAGUAAACAGAAAACAAAAAUUUCAGAGCUGGAUUGGUGUCAAGAAUUACAAGUAUUUACCAUUCUUUUCUAAACUUGCCACACACACACACACACACAAAAUAAUUUGAGUCAAUUACAAAUACUCCCAUAGACUCAUUAGCUCCUGUAGACUUAAUUUUGCAGGGUGCCAAUUUCUUUAAAAAAAAACCAAACAAGCAACUCAGCACUUCUUAGAAAACCAAAGAAAGAACCAGUUCCUUAGGAGUUUUUCCUAAGGCAGGAAGGGAGGAUCAAUCUCCUGGGACAGAUCUUGAAAAUGUUGUCUUUUACAAGAGUUAUUGAAACAUAUCACUAAAGCACUAGAUGGUACCAAGUAAAUCCUGUGGCAGUUAUCAUUCUUGAUUGGAUUAAAUUACUAAUAUCAUAAUGCCAAUAAUCUUCAUACCAUUCAGUUUAAAAAUGGGCAUUCAAAAAUGUUGCAGGAAUUUUUCAAGCAUGCAAAAAAGUUCACCUGCAGGGAUUUAUACUGACUUCUGGAUAUGAUAUCCCUAUUAUAUCAAAGGAGCAACAUUCUAAAAGGAGCAUGGAUACCCAAUAAAGAAGACCUUGAAGCCAGUCUUUCACUUUGGGGUAAGACUGGGAAGUCAGACUGGCAAACAGAGAUAUGUCAAUAAAAGUCUAUUUAAUCUCAA